rnacentral:rRNA from 1 species
UACGUAGGUGGCAAGCGUUGUCCGGAUUUACUGGGCGUAAAGAGCGCGCAGGCGGUCGUGCAAGUCGCGUGUGAAAGCCCCCGGCUCAACUGGGGAGGGUCACGCGAUACUGCUCGACUUGAAGGCAGGAGAGGGAAGUGGAAUUCCCGGUGUAGUGGUGAAAUGCGUAAAUAUCGGGAGGAACACCAGUGGCGAAGGCGACUUCCUGGCCUGUUCUUGACGCUGAGGCGCGAAAGCUAGGGUAGCAAACGGG